AGGCUGCAGGUUCAGUAUAAACAACCCAGCCAGGCCUGCAGGGACACCCUUGUUGGUAAUAAACUAGUGGAGACAUGUCAGGAGGGAGAAGAAAAUCUCGUAAACCCCAAAAAUGGGAGGAUUACGUUGCAGAUGAAGAACAGCUGGCAUCUAUUGAGAAGGAACUUGUGAAGGAAGAAAAGGCUCGCAUGAAAAGUGCAAGUAAUGAUGGGGAUUCUUCCGAGAAAUCACCUGACAAUGAUCAGAACGAGGAUGAAAUUGAUAUUGAAGGUAAUGAAGAUAACUCCACUGAUGAAGAGGAGGAUUUGGAAAUUAGUAUUUUUAAAGAGGAAGAAAAAGAAUUGGAAGCUGAUGAGUUAAAUAAGAAAGAAAUUUCAGAGGAUGAAAAAGUUGAAGAUGUUCGAGAAGAGAGACCACAGUCUACUACCAAUGCAACUGGUGGACAGGUGAUUGGAGACUGCACUGUGUGUGGGAUUCAGUUACGUGAUUGGACUUCGACCCACAGCCAUCUUAGAUUUCAUCGUCUCUCUCACGUACCAGACUGUAAUUAUGGAAGGAAAAUUUGCCAAGUUUGCCACCGAUGUUGUCAGAACAAAGAGGUGUUGGCAUAUCAUGCUUACACUGAGCAUUACGUAGACCUUGAAGAAGCUAAAACUUGCCCCUUUUGUACGUCGAAGUUCAAAGAUAUGGAAGAAUUUCAAGAGCACCUUGACAUGAAUGUUAUUAGCUUCAAGUGUCAGAUGUGUGGUGUGUCAGUUAAUCAAGAGCAUAAGUUUUAUCAACACAUUGUAUAUUGUGCAAAACGUCGUCAGCCGGGUAUCACCUCUCUCGAGUGUUUUGUUUGUGGAGUAACAACUUCCAUUAAUAAAUUACACAUGCAUCUGAUGCAACACAGCACCCUUCUUAGUCUUCCGCUUCACCUCGCUCAUAAUAACAAAAGGCGUGCAGUAUAUGUUCCUAAACCUGACCCACCUCGGCCACAACAGUCCGGGUACCGUCCCUUCUUGUGUGAAAUAUGUGAUCGGCGUUUCGUUGUAUACAGUGAAUUUAAACGUCACUUAUAUUCCCACUUUAAGUCUCGCUCAUAUAUCUGCACUCACUGUGGUCGGAGUUACUGCCAGAAGAAUACCCUCAUUGUUCACCUAUAUUCUUAUCACAACUCUUCACCCAAUGCUGAGGAGAUCACCCCAAGGGAGGACACAACUCAAAGAUCGUGUGAACUUUGUGGUUUGUCUGGAUUCCUGAAUGAUGAGCUGUUGAUACGCCAUUGUAUCUUGCGCUGCUCUCAGAGGAAUAAUUUACAAACAUCAUUUGCUGCUGUUGUGUGCAAUUUGGCAAAGAAACAAAACAUGGGCUUCAGUGAAACUCUACGAAGUAAUGCAAUGCAAACAUACCUCAAGUUGGGAGUUGAAGCAUGGAAAUGCCUUGUUUAUGUUAAGCAGUACCUGGAGAGAUUACAAGCCAGCAGCGACCCUUUAGUUCCGUCUUCAGGUAACCGUCGUGAUUCAACUGAAUUUACAGAUGUGCAAUUGUUGGCAUAUUUGAACCAGUUUGAGGCACUGAACCGUAACAAAGACAAGGAGUUGGAAUUGUUAUUAAAUAUUAGAUCGAAGGAUAAUGGUGGAAAUGAGAUGGAAAUCCUAACUUUUGAUGAUCCACCAUCAUCAACCCGGGCAGAUCUGGAGAUGCAAAUUAGUGAAAGAGAGGAUCCAGGCACUGAAGAUCCGCUCUCAUUCUCCCCAUGCAUCAGCAGGAAACAAUUGUCAAGAAAUGUGACAUCAAACAGUUCUCAAGUGGAUUUAAGUUGCUUGAUGCAACAUUUGCGGAAGGGCAGUGACAAGAGGAGUGCAGAUGAAGAGCAGGGGGGUGAAGGUGGUCCAAUAGAUAUUUGCCUGGUCACUUCUACAACCAAUACUCAGGUUACAAUCACUCCGGCUGGAUGUCACCAGCAUGAUAUUCGCCCUCCCAAGGUGGCGCGAUCUGUGUCCCAUAAACCCUCAGUAGCCAAGAUACAGAGUAUUUAUCCAGGUAUAACUGUACUUAGUGAUGUGGAUUUUUCACGAAUACCUUCAAUUGUUCUUGAAAUGCAAGAAAUAAUGAGUUACAGGGUACAAAAGGAAAUGGCAGAAGCAGCAAUUAUUCCAGAAGAUUUGCAGAGACUGGAAGUUGAAGCCCAGCUUCUCCGAGAAGCAGAGCCAUUUUACCUGGAGGAUGACGGUCAAUGGCAGCUCCCUAAAUGUAAUGGAGUCUUGAACAGAUCCAUUAAGAGAUGUAGCAUUAUACCUGAACCUUCAGUACUUUCUCGAAUUAUUGCAGAAGCAAGUGUUUUAUAUAAUAGUAGUACAGAAGGGGAGAAACAUGUGUUGGAAUACCCAGAAAUGGAUGAAGACCAAAAAUUAGUUCCUGGUAAAAUUGACGUUGAAAAACUGCUCAUGGAAGCACAAAAUUUAAUUGCCGUUUGAAAAAUGAGGUCAUUAAGUGUGCAAGAGAUGCCGUUUGUGCUUGCCGUUGUCUAAAAGAAAAUUAAUGAGCUACCAGUGCUGAUGAUAAUGUGAGUACCAACACUUUUUACAAAGGUGUAAAAUGUUUACCGUAUAUACUGACAUAUAAGUCAACAUUUGAAACCUAACCUAGGAAAAGUGCCUCCAAAACCAGGGAUCGACUUGUCCGCCAAGUAUAAAAUGUGAACCUUUACCGCCGAGAGAUAAAAAAGUGAGACGCCUGGUCUAACACGUUGUACACCUCUUGCCAUGACUCGCAGCCCAUCACACUUAUUUCCUACUGGAACUCAUGUUUGCUGGGAAAGUUGCCUGGUGAGUUAAAGAGUACGUGACGACCAAACCACAACUCAGAAGAUGCAGAAGCGACGAUGUUUUGGUUCGUCCUGGACCAUUAUCAAUUCGCGUGAAAGAAGAGAGGAAGGUACAGGCAAAUAUAUAAGGUGAGAGAGUAAGAUGAGAGAUGAGAAGCAGGUAAGAGAGUGAGGUAAGGAGUUACCUACUCCUACAUCACUCUUACCUGCUCCUCUCCUCUCAUCUUAUUGUCACCUUCUAUAUUUGCCUGUACUUUUCUCUCUUCUUAAACACGACUUGAUAAUGGUCUAGGGACAGACCGAAGUGUCAUCGUUUUAGAGUACGUGCCCAGUGAUGUGGUAUCUAGUCUGAACAGUGUGGGGAAGCCCUUGCAAUCCAAUUACUGUACCAGCAAAACAAAAUAAAUAACAAUUGGAGGUACAGAAAACUGUCAAGGCCUCAUCACAUAAAUCAACCCAGCAACAACAUGAAGAUGAUCAACAGUGUUAUAAACCCCUCGGGGAAAUUCUGGAGACUUGCAACAUCUCGCGACCCUGAAAUGUUUAAUUUUACUGCUUUUGUGAACAAUACUGUACAUUGAUAAGUAAUGGAUAUUAUUUUUUCUUUCACUUUGCAUUAAAAGAAUUAUAUUAGUUUUGAACACCUAUUAAAAAGAACAAGUAUUUGCUUAUAAAGUACAGUAAGCCCUGAAUAUCAAGAGAGAGAUAUUUCAGAAAAGACUAUUCAAUAUGUACAGAACAUUUAAGGUACUGUAUGCAAAGGGAAAUGGCAAAAUAUCUGUUGAUAAUGCUUUCUAGGGAAGGAAAACCCUGACUUCAAACCUUUGCUGCCUCGCAGCCAUACCCACUUUUGGGAUGGGUUUCAAGAGUCAACCUUGAGAAAAAAUCCGGAGUUGAAGCCCCUAAGGCAGUUCGUUGUUGACUUCAACCUCGUUCUGGCAGCUCCUGUGACUGUGCUAGAACCAAGCGUAUUGGUGUUUGCCUGUCCAUUGGAGAAUUUUAGCAUCAUGGAGAGGGGGAACCUGCUGCAUUGGUAACAGCUUGUCCUCCUUAAUGACCUACCCUGGCUUUGCGCCCUGGAGAGGACACUUCGGCCUCAACAACCCGAGUACAACUCCAUAGUCAACAGAGACUUCAAGAUGCCUACUGUCUGAUCCUGCCGCUGCAGAGGGCCAAAAAGUGAAGUUCAGAAGGAAUGAGGAAAUGUUUGUUGAAGCACUGAAACUACAUGAACUUUCUAAGGGCAAGAUUUGACACAAAAUUAAUUUGUAAGGAAGGCGAGGACCUGUGUUAAUGGCCAAGGAGUAUGAACCAAGUUCAUUCACAACUGGCACCAGCUCAGCAGUAACUGAACCAUGAAGAUGGAAGACAGGCUAUCAGGAUUUAAUUUUUCCAUAAUCUUGUAAAUCAUCAUCUAGAUAUGGCAAAGAGGAGCGGUAACCAGGAUUGGCAUGGUAGCUACGCACUUACCCAUCUGGGCUGGCUUUUUAGUUAACAAAAUUUUGCUUUUAAUAUGGACCAACUCAGUUGCAGUAUUUGUUUAAAUUUAAACUUUGGAUUUUUAUCUAUUGAUUAAUAAUUAAGUAGAUGAAAACCCAACCCACUUGAGAUGGGUUUUUAGAACAAAAAUCUGUGUUUUAUCAUCUCGGGACUAUUAACAUUGAUAAUGAAAACUUGGUCUUCACUUUUCUCGGCUGCACAGAUGACCCUGUGAGCUUCAGCACUAGCUAUAUUAAACAAAAUGAAAGAUUUUGCUGUUUGUAACAGUCCUUCAUCCAGGCUGUGUAAGCACUUGGAAUUCCACCAAGGA
rnacentral:misc_RNA from 1 species